UGGCUGGCAAAAGCAUCACUCCCCAUCAUGCACAUAAAACUCAUCUCCUUGAAAAGACAGGAGCUGGAAGCACUUUAAUGAAAGACUGAAGGUGAGCAGGGUGGAGGACAGUCGCACCUCGAAGCUGACAGCUGUCUUCAAGACCAUCAAGGCAAAUCCCAGCGUUUCCUUCUUUGUUUGCCUCUUCCAAGAAUAGGCUGCCAAACCCAGGCACCUGCAGCUUUCCCGUCACUUCCCAAGCUGCUGACAUUUUCUCCAGUAACCUGGUGGCGGUGUGUUGGCCAAGGGGAAGUAGGCACAGUUGCUUUGAAAGAAGACAUACUAUGGUGAAGCUCUGUACGAAUGGAUCAUCCUCGAAGACAGUUUCUGAAGUUCGGUCAGCAUCUGGCUUCCAGGAGAAGAGGAUUUAAUGAAAAGAGGCUGGGCAGCAAAAGUCGGGUGUGGCCAUGAGUCCGAGUCUUUGUUGACUGGAGAUUCCAGUCAAGUAAAACGUGACAUCUUUCUA
rnacentral:lncRNA from 1 species